rnacentral:lncRNA from 1 species
UCUUCUCUGAAAUGUCUCUUGUGUAACUCAUUGGUCUGGGUUUUCAUUUCAAAUGCUUGCAAUAACAGGGCAUUACCGCUCCCUGCGUCUGUCCUUCCUGUUCACGCCAAGGCUGCAUCAGUAAUUUCCUUCUGCUGCCAAAGAAACAACGGUUUCAUGUCGUCCCAUUUCUUCCAGCACUGCUGCCAGCAUGCUCAGGUUGCCAUCAGGGAAAUUCUGGGCUUCCCAGAGAUCCAGGAUCACCCCAGUGGGACUCGACUUCGUAGCAAAAUAAUUUAGUGUGACCAGCCUGAGGUGAUGCUGACAGAAGUGAGAAGAACAACUUCAUCCCUGCCUCUGCUGGAGGGAAGCAAAAUACUCAUCCUUAAAUGUCAA